GGAAGUCAAAAUAGCCUACAUAAGGCCAUGUGCUCAUCAAAUCCCUAAACCAAACUGCGUUAUCACAAACCCUAAAUUGUCAAAUACCAAUCCCUAAAAAUAUUUUUGAGUUGCUCAUUUCUCCCAUUCCCUUAAGUCAGGGGGUCUCAAACUUUGCGAUACUGUGACCCCCCCCCAGGGGCUGAUCGAUAAGCAGGGGGUCCCCUGCGUGCCCGCAUGGCGGCAAAAGCGGAAGUGCCAGCAGCAGAAAUGGAAGCGCCAGCAGCGCACAGGUUUGCAACCCCCUUUUAAGUUGCUCAUGAGACCCAAGGAGAGCGGUCGCGACCCAGAGUUUGAGAAUCCCUGCCUUAAGUAGUUUCCCUACUGUAGUUUUGGAAACAGGUGACAUAUUUUAGUAGGGUUUACAUCUAGCAAAGAAAACUGGAAAAGAGAGAAAUAAAGGGAAAAGCAGGAAGAAAAAGAAAAGAUGUAUCUACAGUAGACUCAACUAUGUGUGAUUUUGACGUAGGUAUAAAAAGUGCACAAAAAAUAAUCAAUUACUGAAGACAAAAGGAAAUUUUAAAAUAAAUGUUAAAAGGUAUAUGGGACUUCCACAAAGCUUAAAAGGCUUUUACCUUUCACUUUUUUUU